rnacentral:lncRNA from 13 species
CUGUCUCCUGAGCUCUUUUGCAGGACAUUUGGCAGCUCUGAGCAGGAAAGGAGCAGACUUUCUCCAGCAAGACUUUCCGUGCAUUUACUGCAAUCCAUUAUACACCCCAAACACAGACGUGUGGCCGGAUGACAACACGCAUCCAGACCUCCGGUCUUCAUCGUCCUGACGACAGAGUACCGUGUCAAGAUGGUGCGUUAAAUCCCGACGAACCUCUACAGAAGGUUUUCACCAACAACGAAUUUGGCAGAAAACCGUUACAGAAUCACCCACCACAACAGGACCAAGCGGCGUGGUAACGGGCAACAGCAAAAGCAGCAGCAGGAGAAGCAACAGAGGCAGCAGCAGCAGGAGCAGCUGCAGCAGCAGUGGGAGAGGCUGCACUAUUUGGAGGAAUGGACAUGGGAGGAAGAAUUGGAAGGUAAAGGACCCUGGGCACAGCCUGGAGAAUAUCGCCGCCCCAAAAAUGUAUUGGGGGGUUGGCACACAGGAAGUGUGGUGAAGCCAGGUAGGAGACCUGCGCCAACUUCCUGUGCUUACCGGGGGGCUGGAGAGACCGGGCAGGCACCGUGUUAUGCUGUGAAGCGCACGGUGUCCCCAGUGCGGGUGCAUAGCCCGGUGCGGUGCAUUCCAGCUCCGCGUAUCGGCCGGGCUAGAG